GUCAUUCAGGCUUCCCUAACAUGAUUGUUGCCAUCGAAGGCACAUGCAUCCCCAUCAAGGCCCCACCUGGCCCAAACGAAGGAGAUUUUGUGAACCUAAAGGGGGUUCACAGUGUAAAUGUGCAGAUUACAAAUAUGGAAGCAAAAUGGCCAGGAUCAGUGCAUGACUCAAGAAUUUUUGGAGAGUAACAUUUAUGCACAUUAUUUGAACGUAGGGAUUUUGAUGGGAUCCUGCUUGGAGACAGGGGCUAUGCCUGCAGGUAGUAUUUUAUGAUGCCCUUCCCUGACCCAAACCCUCGACCACAAACCCAUUACAAUGCAGCUCUAGCCAGGACAACAUCGCCACUAUCAGAAAGGAGAGGAUCCCUGUGGUGGGGGUGCAGCCUGAUGAUGACCUCCAGCCAGUGCACUUGGACCAACCUAGUGGCAGAGCUGCACGGGACAGAAUUGUGGAACACCAUUUUUGAAUGUGUUGGUGUAUUAUGUAAAACUACAACAAAAAAAGGGGGGGGGGGGGUUGUCAUUACAAUUAACUACACUGUAAAAAAUAUAAUGUGAUCAAUAACUCAUGGCAACAUUUUGUAUUGACUAAAAGUGUAGAAGUUUUCACUUUCACAAAGAGUUUAAAUGACUGUACCAGCCAUUUGGAUUAUACUUCAUGUAAUGCAGCAACAGAUUAUUUUACAGUGUACUAUGAGAAUUGGAAGCUCAUUUAGCCUACCAGUAAUGAAGGUGUUGCUGCUACUGGUCCCUGUCUUUGGGUCUGAGGAAGAGCUGCCCCCAGGGAUGCCCUCCACAAUGGUUCGGUUUAUCAUUCAAUCCAAGGGCCAGCUCCUCUGCUGGGGUAUAUUGUGGUGAUGCAGGACCACCACCUGUUUUUUUUUUUUGUUUUUUUCAGCCUUUUUCUUGGUGGCUGUUAUAAAUAGACAAACACAUCAUUUAACAGUGGCUUUUAAAAAGGAAAAAAGUGGCUUUUUAAAAUAAAAGACAGUAUGAAUUAAA